ACCUGGGUGGCUCAGUGGUUGAGCGUCUGCCUUCGGCGCAGGGGAUGAUCCCGGGUC
rnacentral:tRNA from 1 species